AGGGGAGGCUCGCUGCCCCUUGGAUGGGCAGCGAGCUGUGGGUUCCAGAGGCCAGGCUGCGGCCGCCCCCCGGGAUGGCAUCCCUGCUCAGAGCAGGGUGGACGUGGGCCUCCUAGGCUGACCUCACAGCAGACCAGGAGUCUGCCUGGAGAUAAUCAAGAUUGACACCAUGCCUUAGAACGCACCUUAGUACCCUGUCAUCUGAACACACCCGGACUGGUUUAACCCCCUCACGGCUGUCACGGGGGCCCCAGGUCCUUCCCCCGAGGGGAUGGGACAAGGCGUGCGGGGCAGGUUGCCCUGGGCUCCUGGGUUGCCUGGGUCUGCUUUCCUCUCACUGAGAAGGCCUCUUACUCUGCUCCUGAGGACUGAGCUGUCUGCCCUGCGCUGGUUGGCUUGUUCAAAUCAUUGUCCAAAUUCUUUUCCUGCACUUUCAUGGGGGCACUGGGAUGAUGGCAGAUGAGAGGACUCUGAGAGGUUGGUGACUUGUCCAAGAUCAGCUAGGAAGCAAGACCCAGGACUGCAAUCCAGGGUGGCCAGCUGGAACGAAGAAUUGUUCCAUGGAGUCUUAGCUCAUGGAGAACCUGAGGACUGGGUGACCAUCUCCCAUUUCUGGGCAGGAUAUUUGCAGCUUAAGCCUUGGGCUGCUGUGAGGAUCAAACAAGAUAAUGUAUGCUAAGGCGUGCUGUGAACACUACGUGCUGGGUGCAGGAGAAUGGAGGCCCUAGAGUGGGUCUCGUGACACUGUGUUGAUGAAGAUCUUGGCCGUGACCUCUGUGGGAAAUGAGCCAUGGACCAACCAACAUUCAGUCUGAUUUCCUCGUUAUCCGCUGAGGAAGACCUUGGCUGUCCCUUCUGUGGGUAAGGAGCAAAGUGACUCAUAAUAACCGUAAGACAGCAGACUUUACUCAUUUUCUAAGAAACAACAUCUUGGCAGUUAGCUCUGUGUGUAAAGACCGUAGACAGAAAUAAUGAACACAAAGCCAAUUUAAUCAUUCUCUAAUCCGGAAGACCUGGCUGAUAAUUCUGGGACUAAGAAGCGUAAAAACUUAUAUAUAGUGAACUACGGCAUGGCUGACUCAGUCAUUAGCCAGGCAUUACAGUCAACCAGGAGGUGAAGACUGAGAUAACUGUGGUCCAGUGAGGAAGAUCUUGACUGUUACUUCUGUGGAAUGAAGAUGAUGGUUGAUUUAAUCAGUCUCUGCUGAUGAAGAUCUUGGCUGUUACCUUUGUGGAAUGGAUGGAUGAUGAAUCAAUUACGGAGUGUAGAAACUUAUAAUGGAUGCUUCCGGCCAGCCUAAGCAUCUCCAUGGUCUUGAGUUGUCUGGUUGCCUAGGAGCAUAGAGAUCAGUAAUGUAUGCACUCGAGCUGAUUCCCUGUGGUUGGCUCCAUUGUUAGGAGCACAGACACAGAUAGUGGCCACACCAAGCUGAUGAAAGCAUGUUCCGUGAUUAGAGCUCUGUACGUAGGAGAUGGAGAUCGGUAAUGGAUGCACUACAGCUGAUUUCAGGGUUCUUCCAUGGUCACCAGACGUCUGCUUACUCCCAUGUGUUUGGUGCAUAGAGGGAAUGCGCACACCCAAGAUGGUUUAAAUAGUAUCCCUUGGCCAGUGAUCUCUACAUUUGCCUGUAGGAACAUGGAAACCAAUCGUGCUCAAGCAUCCUCCAUGGUCACGCCGCUCCGUUGUUGCCUCUCUGUGGAAUGAGCACAGAGACCGAUGAUGGAUAUGUGUGAACUGCCGUAGGUGUUUGGCUGUGAUCAGGUACUCGUGGGUGCCUGUGUGUGUAGGAGCACGGAGACCAACAAGGACAUCCUCAGGCUGGUUGAAGAAUUCUUUUUUGGUCACAAUCUCUCUGGUUGCAUCUGUGUUUCAGGUGUUAAGAGAGACCAGUAAAGAAGACACCUGACCCAGUGUAAGCGUCCCCCAGGUUCAGGCACUGCCGGCAAGCCUCUCUCUGUGGGAGCAUGGAAUCCAACAGUCAACGCACUCCCGCUGAUGGAAGCAUUUUCCAUGGUCAGGAGGUCUGUGAUUUCCCUUGUGUUCUAAGCCUAGAGAUGAAUAAUGGACGAACUCCAGCAGCUGGAAGCACUUGCAUGGAAGCACUUGCAGAAGCACAGCUGUCUGUCUGUAUGUUUGGAGCAUAGAGUAAUGUGAGUAGUAGUCAACGUGUUUGUCUUCCUCGGCUAGUGCUUUAUUUAAGAUCUUCACUAUAUCGUUAAGAAGUAUGAAGAAUAAUCAAGUAAGGGCAGCUGUAGCCCAGUGACAACUAUGGAGUUGAUUAUAUUGACUAAAGGGUUGAUUGUACUGAUUAAUGCAUUUACUAAAACGUUAUAGUUAACGAGAGUGAUGCACGGAUGUGAGAACGAGCCUAAGGACAGAAAAGAGAUAUCAGGGCUCUUUUUGCAUUUUUGUGAAUAAUAGCAUCUUAGAAUUAUUAUUAGUGAAUUAAUGAAUUAGUCAAUAAACAAUGUAGCACUGAAUGGAGAAAAAGAGGGACAAUACUGGCUCGAUGAUGACCGCUGAUGGCAUUAUGAGUCAUGUAUGAUGAACAAGUGUCUGGAACAGAAAUGCGGUCUAGGCGACAGUCCUGUGUGAAGUGAUCUCAUAGACAGAUACCAUGAGUAUAGAAAGAUCCUGUUUUGGGUUCAUGUUCAUGCAUUCGAUAUUUUUAGGAUUGGAUCAAUGAGAUGAUCAACAAACAGUCUAUAAAUAAGGAUAAAGGUCAUACAGCAUUGCCCAGUUACAAAAAUAAGUAGUGAGACAUGAAAUACUGUUAAUGUGUAUUAAAAACACACUCCUGUCCAUUAAGAAAUAAAAGAUACAAAGAUGUUGCCUCCCUGGCAAAGGACUGGGGAGGCAUGGUAGGGUAACAUGGGAGUGUUAAAUAGUAAUAAACAGUGUUCAUAUUCUAUGUCAAUGGCAAGGCCAUUAUUGUUCACUUAUUAGGAGACACUUAAUAAACAGUUCCCCUAAUUACACAUUCUCUACAUGACUGACGAGAUGAGACGUGGGUUGCAAGGCCAGUGCAGAGAAGGUCUAAAGCUUUUUGUUUUCAUCUGUUCUUCUCUGUACGCCAAAAAUGGACUGAUUCGAGCAUUCUUCCGUGAUCGCAAGAUCUAUGGCUGUGUCUGUGUGUUGGAGAAUGGAGAUCCAUGUGAGUCAUGAAUGGACACGCUUAUCCUGAUGGAAGCAUCUUCCAUGGUCAUGAACUCUGGGCCUGCAUCGAUGCACUGGGAACGUAGACACCAACAACCGGCGCGCUCCAGCUCCUUAACGCAUCUGCACAUGUCGCGGUUCUGUGCGCGCUUCUGUGUCGUGGGAGCGUAGCGAGCACUAAAGGACCUGGCAAGCAGAUGGAAGGAUUCUUCCUUGGUCAUGAGAUCUCAGGUUGCGUUCACGUGUUAGGAACAUAGAAACCAUAAUGGUCACCGUCAGCUGACGGAAGCGAUCUACCCUAGUCGCCAGCUUCUUGGUCGAGUCUGUGUGUCAAGAGCAUGGAGCCCAGUAAGAAACAGACACUUGAGCUGUUUUCAGCUUCCGCCGUGAUCAAGACCGUGAUGUUCCCUUUGAGUACUGAAAGAGAUGGAGGCGCAUAAUGGUCAAAAUGGUCGUCUUGGAAAGGGCCACUUGUUUCAGGAAUGAACGCGCACGAGAUGAUUCGGCGAUUUCCUGGGCGCGAGGUCUGUGGUUGCUUCUGUAUAACAGGAGGAUGGCGAUUAAUAAGAGACACUGGACCUGAUUUAAGGAUUUCUCCCUGGAUCCUGACCUCUACGUUUGCAUCUGUUUUAGGAGACUGGAGACCCGUAAUAGAAGGUCAAGGUGAUUUCUGCCUUCAUUUUGGUCCAGGUCACCAUGUUCCCUCUUAUAGGAAAGAGACUAACAAUGGACAGAUUCGAGCUAACCAAGCAUUAUUCCAAGGUGGCGAGCUCUACGAUAGCUUCGGUGUGACAGAGGCACAGGGUCCCAUGUACACUUCAGAACAGAUGCUCCGGCUGAUUUCACCUCUGCCCUGAUCACGGUCGUUAUGUUGCCUGCGUCUUAGGAGAGUAAAGCAAGCUGAUGUAAGCAAUCCUGCCUGGUGGCGAGCUCGGUGGUCGCAUCCCUCUCUUAGAUGCGCAGAGAACAGCAACGGACACACCCGAGCAGAUGUAACAUCUUCUAUGAUCCUGAGUUCUGUGUUGCCUCUGUAAUAGAAGGAUGGGGAUUAAUGACGGACAGGUUAGACCUGCGUAAGGAUUCUCCCCAAUCAAGGGCCCUCGGGCUGUAUUUUUGUACUGGGAUGACAGGAGACGGAUAAUGGACACACUACAGCUGACGGUAACAUUCUUCCAAGGUUGAUAGCCCUCUGCUCCCAUCUACGUUGGAGGAGUGUGGAGACCAUAACAGGUGCUUGAGCCGAUUUCGUCUUCCGUUGGGAAUCAGGGUUGUCACGUGACCUUCCUUUUGUGUUAGGAAAUGGAACAAGGAGAGUAAUGGUCAAAAAUUUUGUUUUUGUUUGGGUCAUUUGUGUGUGUUCAUGGUAUUAUUAAAAAGUAAUAAGUAUCAUGAAAAGGUUCACUAUGUGACGAAUAAAUAUGAUGUAAAACAUUGUAUUCAUUAAUUUAUUACAUAACAUUGAGUUUGGUUAAUGAAAGAAAUAGAUGCUGUGUUGGCAAUGGUUCUAUAUUAGAAGUUAAGGGCAUUCAGGCAUCUUAUUCUUUGGUUUUUGUAAAUUAUACUCAUGUUAAUAUUUUCAAUGAAUUAAUUAUUUAAUCAAUACAAGUGUAGAAAGGAGUUGAGAACGAGGGCAUCUCUAAUGGACCAGUGAUGAUGACAGGUGAUGGCUGAUUCAUGGAUGAUGGGCAGUGCGCAUCUGGGUAUCUGAGGUCCAACAUGAUAAAAACUGUUCCUUCUGUUCUGUUGGAUUCUGUACAUGGAUGUUAGGGAUAUACAAAGAUCAUGUUCUUAUUUUGAAUUUAUACGUUUGGGUUUGUUAUUAUUAGUGGAUCAAUGAUAGAACCACUAAAGAAAUAUGGAAAUUGAAAAUAUUUAUGUUCCUUAGGAAAUAAGUAGAGAAAGGAUGUUACCUUCUUAGCUAAGUGUUAAUACUGGUAAGAGUCUAGUCUCUCUGAGCCAGUGUCCAGUAUGACGUUGUUCCUUUUAUUAAGUGAAAAAAUAAGUGAGGAAAUGAAAUAUGGAAAGCAAGGGUCAGUGGAGAUAAGGUCUUAACUUUCUUUUUUCUCAUUGACUGUGUUUUGUACUUCUCUGGACAGACACACUGAGGAAGCGUUGUGUUAUGCUGGUGAAUCCAUGAUUACAUCUGUAUGUUAGAAGCACGGAGACCCAUAAGAAGAGGACAGAAGUUAAUAAUGGACACGCUCCAGCUUAAUGCAACAUUCUUCCAAGGUCACGACCCUCUGGUUGUGUCUGUGUUUUAGGAGUGUGGAGACUGUAAUGGAUGCGCUCGGGCUGAUUUCAUACCUUUGUGGGUGUGAGCUCUGUGGUUCCCACUGCGUGGCCAAAGGAUGCAAGUUAAUACACGGGGACCCGCCAUAAGGAUUUGUCCCUGAUCAUGGGCUUGAAGGUGGCGGUUCUGUUGCAGGAGUCUGGAGACGAGUAAUGGUCACCGUCAGCUGAUGGAAGCGAUCUACCCUAGUCGCCAGCUUCGUGGUCGAAUCUGUGGGUGAUAGCGUGGACCCCAGU